rnacentral:lncRNA from 10 species
GCACAGACUUCGGAGAUACAGCGAAGGCGGAGCAGUGUUCACCUCAGCACAGACCCGGGCGGGCGGGCGGGCCGGUGGCACCGCGAGGGCGGAGCUGCGUUCUGCUCUGCACAGACCUUGGGGCACUGCCUCGCUUUGGGACAACUCGGGGCCGCAUCGACGGUGAAUAAAAUACUUCCUGUUUGCAGCCCUGUUUGUGGUUGGUGGCAGCGAUGGACACUGCAGCCAGCCAGAGCGUAGAAAGGCAUCGGGUGAAAGAAGAUGGCCACAGAGACAGACAGCAGCGUGGUCAGAGUGGUAGGAGCCGGCCAUCAGCGAGAGCUGCUCCAUGCCUGGCUGCUGGGUGCUAGAGUCUGCGGCCCACUGGCUUGCCUCACUGUGGUUGGUGGUGGCGGUGACAGAGACUGCAGCAUGACCAGAGUGGCUUUUCUGGCUUUGCCCGCCCAGCUGCUCCAUGCCAGGAGGAGGAGGAGACACCUAGAGCCUGCAACACCACGGCUCGCCUCGCUACAGUCAGUUCUAGAGUGUAUGAAGAACCAAAUGAUGUAAUUGUAUGCGACCUGGCUGUAGUGGAACAAAUUUGACUCUAAAGUAUGCAGGCUCUAAUUUUCCUGUCUGGUUUUGGUAAGUAUUCCUUACAUAGGUUUUUUCUUUGAAAAUCUGGGAUUGAGAGGUUGAUGAAUGAAAAUUAAUCCUUUCACUUUGUUGUAUAUAGGUUUGCAAUAAUUAAGUCAGAGUGGAGUUUUAAGGUCAUGGAGGGGUCUGAUGACUUACAAAUGGGCUCUGAUUGGGCAACUACUCAUCUGAGUUCCUUCCAUUUGACCUAAUUAAGCUUGUGAAAUUUACACUAAGCCAUGAGCUCAUCUUUAAAAAGUUUUAUUAAAAGAUUUUCAGCUGUUCCAAAUGGGACUU